AAAAAAAGUUAAGAAAUGAAUUCUUAUAGCUGAAAACCCCACAAGAACCCUGUUAAACAUGCUCUCGUAAGCAAAGUUGAGGGGACACAGUUGUCAGCUUAAGACGCAUGAAGUUUCCUUCCUCUGCGUUUGCCCAGAAACAUUCUUUUAUAUAUUCUUCAAUUUCAUUUCGCGAUUAACCUAAACCUUAAUUUAACUUCUAUUUUUUUCCUAAAGUCAGACUCUAAUCGUUUGUAGCAACCGCGAAAUCGCCUCGACACGCUUUGAAAAGUUUAGGAACACUUGAUGGAUAACAACAAUUGGAGACUUUCCAUUCCAAAUGGAGAAUCUGCAGCCAUUAACAAUGGUGAGUGGAGAAAACAGUUGCCACCUGAUUCACGCCAGAAGAUCGUUAACAAGAUAAUGGAAAUACUAAGCAGGCACCUUCCUCAAUCUGGACCAGAAGGAAUUAAUGAGCUCAUGAGAAUUGCUGCCAGGUUCGAGGAGAAAAUUUUCAGCGGUGCUGUUAACCAGACUGAUUACCUUCGGAAGAUAUCCAUGAAGAUGCUGGCUAUGGAGACUAAAUCUCAAAAUGCAGCUGGCUCUUCAGCAACUACCCCUGCUGCUAAUAAUACCACAUCAAUGGAUUCAAUACCCGCCAAUCAAGGGCAACUUCUUCCAGGAACGUUACCGAACAAUCAAUCUCAAGCACCUCAGCCGUUGAUGUCCCAAACCAUUCAGAGUAAUACAGCCUCUGGAAUGGCGGGCUCUACUGGUUUACCAUCUUCCAUACCGCCUGUUUCUUCCAUAGGCAAUGAUAAUGUCACAAGUGUUGUAAAUCAGAAUUCCAAUAUGCAAAAUGUAGCCGGAGUGUUGCAAGAUUCAUCUGGGCAGCAUGGCCUUUCGUCCAACAUGCUUUCAGGAUCCCAUAGGCAGAUGUUGCGCAGGCCGCAUACUAUGUCUUCUCAGCAGCAGCAACUUCUCAGGCAGAAUUUUCGGUCAGGGAACUUUUCCAAUCCCAAUUCGGUUUUGCCGUCGCAGAUACAUCCUGGUAGUACGACAUCUGCGACGCAGCCCUCAGCUGUGAGCUCAGCUCCCCUCCAAGGUCUCCACACAAAUCAACAAUCAAGUCCUCAAGUGUCUGCUCAAUCAUCGCUGCUAAGGCAACAUCCGCAAUCACAACAAGCCUCUGUGAUCCAUCAGCAACAAACUUCAUUGCCGCAGCAGUCUAUUUCUCCUCAGCAGCAAGCACAACUGAUGCGGCAACAAGCUUCAAAUAGCUCUGUCAUCCAACAGAGGCAGAUGAUGGGGCAGCAUGUUGUUGGGGCUAUGCAGCAGCAACAUCAGCAAAGGUUACUGAACCAACAAAAUAAUACUAUGAACAUGCAACAGCAGCAGAAUCAACACCCACCGGCCCAGCAGCAAUUCAUAUCUCAACAAAACAGCCUUCAUCAGCAGCAACCACUGGGCAUUCAAAGCAAUGUUGCAGGACUGCAGCAACCACAACAACAGUUGCUCAGUUCCCAGACUAACCAGCAGUCGGUGCACAUGUUAUCACAGCCAACCGCUGCACUGCAACGAACACACCAGGCUGGCCAUGGCUUAUUUCCUUCUCAGGGACAACAGUCACAAAAUCAGCCAUCCCAGCAGCAGAUGAUGCCCCUUCAGUCGCAUCAUCAGCAGUUACAACAACCCAAUCUGCUACAACAGGAUGUGCAACAAAGGCUACAAUCUUCAGGCCAAGUGACAGGUUCCCUGCUUCCACCCCAAAAUGUAGUGGACCAACAGAGACAACUGUAUCAAUCCCAAAGAACCCUUCCGGAGAUGCCAUCAUCAUCGGUAGACUCAACGGCACAGACGGAAAAUGCAAAUGGUGUUGAUUGGCAAGAGGAGGUUUACCAAAAGAUCAAAAUUAUGAAAGAUGCGUACUUACCAGAUGUUACCGAAAUCUACCAGAGAGUUAUAGCCAAGUUGCAGCAAAUGGAUUCUCUUCCGCAGCAACAAAGAUCAGAGCAGUUUAAUAAAUUGAAACAAUUCAAGAUAAUGGUGGAGCGAAUGAUACAAUUCCUGUCGGUUUCAAAGAGAAAUAUCGUGCCUGCAUUAAGGGAUAGGGUGGCUUAUUAUGAGAAGCAGAUUGUAGAUUUCUUAAAUAUGCACAGGCCGAGGAAGCUAGUACAGCAAGGGAAGCUUCCGCAACCUCAGAUGCAGCCUGUGAAGCAACAGUCAUCUCAGAACGGUAAUCUUGCCAUAAACACAGUUGACUGGAGAACUCUACAUCCACCAGCUUCACGCCAAAAGAAUGUCAACACGCUAUUGGAAACACUGAAGAAGAAUCUUCCAUAUUCUGGGGAAGAAGGAAUCGAAGAGCUCAUGAGAAUUGCUGUCAGCUUCGAGGAGUUGAUUUUCAACACCGCAAAAAAUCAGAUGGACUACUUUUGCAAAAUAUCCUUGAAGAUGCAGAGUAUGGAAGAGGGAAGCUAAAGCCAAAUAAGGGGGAAGGCAACUGCAUUUACAUAUUUGUAUAUAAAGAAGUGGUUUCUCGUUUUUCUAGUAUCUGUAGCAAUGCAAGAUUCUGUUUGUUAUGUGUAUUUUUGUCGGAUUUAUUAAAAGUCGGAACGGUUCAUUGGUGAGGAGAAAGUGGAGACUAUGUUCUCCCGUCCCGAUUAACCGGGACAAGCCGGUGAUCAUAGAAAUCGGAUUCAAGAUUAUGAUAAGCGGUCUGGCUGUGUGUCAUUUGUUAGAAUUGAGUCCGAGCUUGCGAAGUAACUCGACUGUGUGUUUCGGAGAAAGACAGUCCUAAGUCGUUGGGGUUUUACUUAAAUCACUAAAUCACUGUUGUAACCAUUGUUUCUGUUCGUUAGGUGGAAUUUCAAAUUGAAAAAAAAAAAAAAACAUAUGUUGUUUUUGGUGAAAGGAAAAACUAUUAGAGUUAUCACUUAUUAAAAUAGGUUUAUGUUGACUCUAAUAUUCAAUUAUUUCGUUCUUACUAAUUCUAAUUGGUCGUUCGGGUCGGGUAUUUCAGAUUUUUAGGUAUUUUGGCAUAGGGAUAUAGAACCCGUUUGGGUAUUUUUGUAUUUUGGAUCGGCUUCGAAUAUUUUUAAAUCAGAUUCGGUUAUUUCGGGUUGGGUUCGGAUAUUUAGAUUUUAAAAUAAAAAAUUAUUUUUUUCAUUGUUUUAAGUUUCUUGUAUUUAAAAAUAUAAUUUUCACUCAACUGAUUUUUUUUUAUUUUUAAUAGAUUGAGUGAUUAAUAGAUUUGGAGAUAACAUUGCAAAAAUAAAUAAUUUGGUCAUU